rnacentral:lncRNA from 1 species
CUAAAACUUGUUCUCUUAACCUUAGAACAUAUCAAAAUGUCCAUAUACCUUCUCGUAGCUUCGUCCCCUUGAAACCCUAACCCCUCCAGCGAGUCACUCCUGCAAGGCACUCUGUCAAGGCUCUAGUAUAUCUCUUCAACCUCACAGAGUCUAGGGAAAGUAAUAUUUUGGGAGCGGCAAAGAGUCAAGGUCUGGUUCUUUCAGGUUUCCCAUCUUGAAGGGUGUGCUGAAUGGUGCAAGAGUCACUUUCCUCUGAGAUCCAUGUAUCUGCUACUAGCUGAAGUGAGACCAUCAAAGUUCUCUGUGCUUGGGUAAGUUACAAACCUUGUUUUAUUAAGAUUUUAUUUUGUAAUUUAUCUCUAAAUGGGUGAAUAAAUUCUUUGGUUAAUAUCCAAUUAGGUACCCUAACUAUGUUGGUAGAAAAAAGAACUGGAAUUUCCUAAGUGUGUCAUCUGAUCCUGUUUAUGGUAUUUGCGAGCUUGUAUGCUUGAUUGAUUUUUCACUCUUGAGCUCUUGAAUUUCACUGUAUUAUGUCUGCUUUGUUAUUACAUAUUAUCCUUGUGCUAUUUCAAGAGAAGUUUUGAAGUAAAUGGGUAUAACUGUAGAUUUAAUUAAUGGCACUACCUAGGAGUGAAAUGUUUGUAGCGUAUUGAAUUGAGGUUUCAAAAAAUUUGGGGGAAAAUCUGCUCCAUAUUUGUUGAAGCAGUAUUAUAAUUUUUAGGCUCACAAGUGUUUGAAAGUAGUUCUCAAUGAAUUUCUUUGACUGUCGUAUACAAAUAAUGCUGCAAUUGAAGAAAGGUUGAGUGCAUAUUAGCAUGUUCGUUUGUACUUUAAGCUUAUUGUAUUGAUCAUUCUAUCUAAUCAUUCAUGAGACCGAAACUCAAAAAAUGAGAUUUCAGUAAAUGAGAGAUUCCACCUACUUAUAGUUCGCAGAAAAUAGCACCAGUAAAUUACUUCCUUUUUUCACUAUUAUGCAUUAAUCUUUAUAAAUAUAUCGUAUUUCUUGGCAUGCCAAAACUUAUAUUACUAGUGUGGUUUAUGAAGAGGCUACGAGAGAAGAAGAAAGUGAUGAAAAAGAGAAUGAAAUGACUAAUGAAUACUAUGAAGAUGGAUCUUCAGAUGCAGACAUAGGUGAUGGUGAAGGCUAGUAUUCCCCGAGAGGCAAUUUAUUUCCGAAAAUAAUACAGAGAGGAAAAGCUCUUGAGGUAUCAUGACCCUUUUUUUACUCUCUUUCUUGAGUUGUUAUAUUGGUGUUGAUUGGACUACAUGGAUGUAUGGAAAUAACCAUCUGAAAUGCAAGGUUAUUUCCAUAAAUUAAGUGAAAUACUUGCAAAAUGGUAGAUCUCAUGUCAAAAUGGAGUUUUUACUUUAAGAUAUCUCUGUGGCAUAUAAUAUAUCAAUAAUAAAAAUUGGAAAUUCUUUUAGAUUCACUGUAUAAUCAUUGUCACUAGGAACUUAGGAAGGUAGUUUUACUUCUACUUAUAAUGUUUAUCUACAGGGUGCAUUUAUAUUAAAGUUCAUACAAUUUGAGUUCCUAUAUCAACCUAGAAAGCAAAAAAAAAAAAAAAAAAAAAUUAAAAAAAAAAAGUCAAAUACAAUAUGAUUAGUCACGGACAUAUUGACAUGGUAAACUUUGAGAAAUGAUACAACAAAGGAAUGACACAUAUCAAUUUCGUAGCAUAGAGAAUCAUAAAUAUAUCAUACAUUGAAAUGUUGAAAUAGAAAUGUGGAACAUAUAAUAUAAAGAAAUGUGAUGAUAGCGAAAUAGUCAAGGCACGCACAAAGCCUAGAUGCCACUACUAGGAAAAAAGAAAAAAAAUGUUGAGACAGAAAAGAUAGGAUAAUCUCAUGCAUAAAAAUUAAUAGGAAGUAUCUUUUUUGGUAGUAAUAAAUUUUUUGAUCUAUUCAAACAAGACAAUUAUCUUCUCCAUCCACCAAAGCAAUCAUGUUCAGUUCCUGCAACAAUGCUUCCAAUGCAUCAAUCUCCCAAUGCCUCUUAAACAUUAGCUACCAAAUACUUUCACUGUUAAGCUUUCAACUGACUUGCCUCUAAAUCUUCGUGACAUUAAUUAAGAUAAAUAUUUUAUGAAAUUGGAUCUACUUUACUAAAGAGCAUUCUUCGAGACAUGUUUCAAGUGACAAUAAGUUGUUUUUUUGAUUGUGCCAAUAACUGUGUAGUUGGACUUGUUUUUUCUUUUUCCAGAUACAUUUUUAAUGUGUGAAUGAAAGUUGUGCGGUUUAGUUAAUUAUAUAGAAGUCCUUUAUAUAUGGUAAUCACUUAUCCUCUUGUAAAUUGAAGCGAUGUCGUUUCUAUUCUUGUUGUUCCUAUGGUAGCAAAGUAAUAAAUAAUGGUCCUUGAAGUGCCUGCAAAACUGAUUAUUGUCCCAACUGAAAGUUGAGUUCCCAUGGUAAAACUAUAAUGAGUCUUUAGAUAUUGUAUCAUUGCGUAUGUUUAAUUUUAGGUACAGAAAUAUCUGCAUCAAGUCUUUGAUUCCAUAUAGAAAAUAAAGCUUGCAGUGAUAACAUGGCCAACUCAAUUUACAUGCAGCUUUUAAUUUGAAGGAGGCUAAUUAGUUUUAAACUAUUUUUCUCUUGUAGGAAUGUCAAAGCUUCAGCCCAAAACUUGCAUAUAAUCCCUAUAAUGAGCCCAACAUUGAAGUUUUCAUGUUGUAAAAGUAUAUUUAUCCAUUUUGAUGAAACUAUUAUUUUUUGUCAGGUUAAUAUAUUUUUAAAUGUUGUCUUAUUCCAACACUUAGUUCAUCUCUAGGACUGCUUUGAAUUUGCAGUUCUGGAGUGCUUUGAAUUUGCAGUUGCGAAGUUUUAUUGACUUCCUUGAUCUGAAUUGCAUUGUUAAACAUUACAACACCAUUUUGAUUGCAGUCAAUAAUCUUCUUUAACUGGCCAUAUGUAGGGCCUUUAAUUCAUCUCUGGGUUGGAGUUGGAAAAUUUGAUUUAAGUUAUUUUUCGUUAUAGAACUAGCAUAUUUAGGGAUGGAUUUCCAAUCAGUGAUCUCUCUUCUAA